GCUAACACAUGCAAGUCGAGCGUCCCGCAAGGGGAGACGGCAGACGGGUGAGUAGCGUGGGAAUCUAACCCAGACUCUAACGGAAUAAACUCAGGGAAAUUGUUAAUAACCGUAUAACGUCCGAGAGGAGAAAGAUUUAUCGGAGUUGGAUGAGACCCGCGUUGGAUUAGCUAGUUGGUGGGGUAAAGGCCUCAAGGACGACGAUCCAUAGCUGGUCUGAGAGGAUGAUCAGCCACACUGGGACUGAGACACGGCCCAGACUCCUACGGGAGGCAGCAGUGGGGAAUAUUGGACAAUGGGCGCAAGCCUGAUCCAGCCAUGCCGCGUGAGUGAUGAAGGCCCUAGGGUUGUAAAGCUCUUUCACCGGUGAAGAUAAUGACGGUAACCGGAGAAGAAGCCCCGGCUAACUUCGUGCCAGCAGCCGCGGUAAUACGAAGGGGGCUAGCGUUGCUCGGAAUUACUGGGCGUAAAGCGCACCGUAGGCGGACAUUUAAGUCAGGGGUGAAAUCCCGGGGCUCAACCCCGGAGCUGCCUCUGAUACUGGGUGUCUAAGAGUCC
rnacentral:rRNA from 1 species